rnacentral:rRNA from 1 species
AUGAACGCUAGCUACAGGCUUAACACAUGCAAGUCGAGGGGCAGCAUGGUCUUAGCUUGCUAAGGCCGAUGGCGACCGGCGCACGGGUGAGUAACACGUAUCCAACCUGCCGUCUACUCUUGGACAGCCUUCUGAAAGGAAGAUUAAUACAAGAUGGCAUCAUGAGUCCGCAUGUUCACAUGAUUAAAGGUAUUCCGGUAGACGAUGGGGAUGCGUUCCAUUAGAUAGUAGGCGGGGUAACGGCCCACCUAGUCUUCGAUGGAUAGGGGUUCUGAGAGGAAGGUCCCCCACAUUGGAACUGAGACACGGUCCAAACUCCUACGGGAGGCAGCAGUGAGGAAUAUUGGUCAAUGGGCGAGAGCCUGAACCAGCCAAGUAGCGUGAAGGAUGACUGCCCUAUGGGUUGUAAACUUCUUUUAUAAAGGAAUAAAGUCGGGUAUGGAUACCCGUUUGCAUGUACUUUAUGAAUAAGGAUCGGCUAACUCCGUGCCAGCAGCCGCGGUAAUACGGAGGAUCCGAGCGUUAUCCGGAUUUAUUGGGUUUAAAGGGAGCGUAGAUGGAUGUUUAAGUCAGUUGUGAAAGUUUGCGGCUCAACCGUAAAAUUGCAGUUGAUACUGGAUAUCUUGAGUGCAGUUGAGGCAGGCGGAAUUCGUGGUGUAGCGGUGAAAUGCUUAGAUAUCACGAAGAACUCCGAUUGCGAAGGCAGCCUGCUAAGCUGCAACUGACAUUGAGGCUCGAAAGUGUGGGUAUCAAACAGGAUUAGAUACCCUGGUAGUCCACACGGUAAACGAUGAAUACUCGCUGUUUGCGAUAUACGGCAAGCGGCCAAGCGAAAGCGUUAAGUAUUCCACCUGGGGAGUACGCCGGCAACGGUGAAACUCAAAGGAAUUGACGGGGGCCCGCACAAGCGGAGGAACAUGUGGUUUAAUUCGAUGAUACGCGAGGAACCUUACCCGGGCUUAAAUUGCAGAUGAAUUACGGUGAAAGCCGUAAGCCGCAAGGCAUCUGUGAAGGUGCUGCAUGGUUGUCGUCAGCUCGUGCCGUGAGGUGUCGGCUUAAGUGCCAUAACGAGCGCAACCCUUGUUGUCAGUUACUAACAGGUUCUGCUGAGGACUCUGACAAGACUGCCAUCGUAAGAUGUGAGGAAGGUGGGGAUGACGUCAAAUCAGCACGGCCCUUACGUCCGGGGCUACACACGUGUUACAAUGGGGGGUACAGAGGGCCGCUACCACGCGAGUGGAUGCCAAUCCCAAAAACCUCUCUCAGUUCGGACUAGAGUCUGCAACCCGACUCCACGAAGCUGGAUUCGCUAGUAAUCGCGCAUCAGCCACGGCGCGGUGAAUACGUUCCCGGGCCUUGUACACACCGCCCGUCAAGCCAUGGGAGCCGGGGGUACCUGAAGUGCGUAACCGCGAGGAGCGCCCUAGGGUAAAACUGGUGACUGGGGCU